GCCAGCAGCCAUAUCACCCUGCAGCUCACAGCUGGCAGCCCACUGAAGCUCAGCAGGUGUGAGCCUGGUCAGUCCCUGGAUGGGAGACCUCCUGGGAAAGCUGAGGCUGCUGCUGGAA
rnacentral:rRNA from 1 species